rnacentral:rRNA from 1 species
CACGUAGGGUGCGAGCGUUGUCCGGAAUUAUUGGGCGUAAAGAGCUCGUAGGCGGUUUGUCGCGUCUGCUGUGAAAUCCCGAGGCUCAACCUCGGGUCUGCAGUGGGUACGGGCAGACUGGAGUGCGGUAGGGGAGAAUGGAAUUCCUGGUGUAGCGGUGGAAUGCGCAGAUAUCAGGAGGAACACCGAUGGCGAAGGCAGUUCUCUGGGCCGUAACUGACGCUGAGGAGCGAAAGCGUGGGGAGCGAACAGG